rnacentral:rRNA from 1 species
UGGGGAAUAUUGGUCAAUGGGGGCAACCCUGAACCAGCAACGCCGCGUGAAGGAAGAAGGCCUUCGGGUUGUAAACUUCUUUGAUCGGGGACGAAUAAAAUUGACGGUACCCGAAGAACAAGCCACGGCUAACUACGUGCCAGCAGCCGCGGUAAUACGUAGGUGGCAAGCGUUGUCCGGAUUUACUGGGUGUAAAGGGCGCGUAGGCGGGAUUGCAAGUCAGAUGUGAAAUCUCCCGGCUUAACCGGGAGCGUGCAUUUGAAACUGUAGUUCUUGAGUGAUGGAGAGGCAAGCGGAAUUCCUUGUGUAGCGGUGAAAUGCGUAGAUAUAAGGAGGAACACCAGUGGCGAAGGCGGCUUGCUGGACAUUAACUGACGCUGAGGCGCGAAAGCGUGGGGAGCAAACAGG